rnacentral:rRNA from 1 species
UACGAAGGGGGCUAGCGUUGCUCGGAAUUACUGGGCGUAAGGCGCACGUAGGCGGCUUCUUAAGUCGGUGGUGAAAUCCUGGAGCUCAACUCCAGAACUGCCUUCGAUACCGGGAAGCUCGAGUCCGGGAGAGGUGAGUGGAACUGCGAGUGUAGAGGUGAAAUUCGUAGAUAUUCGCAAGAACACCAGUGGCGAAGGCGGCUCACUGGCCCGGUACUGACGCUGAGGUGCGAAAGCGUGGGGAGCAAACAGG